rnacentral:rRNA from 1 species
CUACGGGCCGCACCAGUGGGGAAUAUUGCACAAUGGGCGCAAGCCUGAUGCAGCCAUGCCGCGUGUAUGAAGAAGGCCUUCGGGUUGUAAAGUACUUUCAGCGGGGAGGAAGGGAGUAAAGUUAAUACCUUUGCUCAUUGACGUUACCCGCAGAAGGAGCACCGGCUAACUCCGUGCCAGCAGCCGCGGUAAUACGGAGGGUGCAAGCGUUAAUCGGAAUUACUGGGCGUAAAGCGCACGCAGGCGGUUUGUUAAGUCAGAUGUGAAAUCCCCGGGCUCAACCGGGGAACUGCAUCUGAACUGGCAAGCUUGAGUCUGGUAGAGGGGGGUAGAAUUACAGGUGUAGCGGUGAAAUGCGUAGAGAUCUGGAGGAAUACCGGUGGCGAAGGCGGCCCCCUGGACGAAGACUGACGCUCAGGUGCGAAAGCGUGGGGAGCAAACAGGAUUAGAUACCCCGGUAGUC